rnacentral:misc_RNA from 1 species
GAUGAAGAACGUAGCGAAAUGCGAUAAGUAGUGUGAAUUGCAGAAUUCAGUGAAUCAUCGAAUUUUUGAACGCACAUUGCGCCCCUCGGUAUUCCGUGGGGCAUGCCUGUUCGAGCGUCAUUUAACCCCUCAAGCCUAGCUUGGUAUUGGGUGCUUGUCCCGCCUCUCGCGCGGCGACUCACCUCAAAGUCAUUGGCAGCCCGCAUCUCGCCGGCCGUGAGCGCAGCACAGACGCGCUCUUGGCAACGACGGAUCGGCUCUCCAAAAGCUUAUUUCAACCACUGACCUCGGAUCAGGUAGGGAUACCCGCUGAACUUAAGCAUAUCAAUAAGCGGAGGA